rnacentral:antisense_RNA from 1 species
UUUUUUCCCCCCGGCAGAGAGAGGAAAACACGCGCGCGCACACACGGUGAUAUCUUGCGGGUGAUGAAUAUGAUAAUUGGACAAGGGACGGACAGAAGAGCUCCUUGGCACUGGAUGCCUCCGGGUCUGGUUGAGAGAGGAAUGGUUAGGAGACUGUUCUGAGGAUACGCAGACAUCAUCCAAAGCUUCCUACAUUCAGAUGAGGACAGAGGUUGGGCCAGAGCUUUGUAUGCUUGUUACCUAAGGAUGGUUCUGACCAUGUAAGCAGAUCACAGAAGAGCCAGCCUUGACAAUGUGCUGUUGGCAACCU